UCACAAAUUUUUCUCCAUGGUCUCUUUCAGUAGCUGCUAGCACCAUUGAUCGUAAGUUUGAAACCAAGGUUCAACUGGGAAACAAAAAGAUUUAUGAGGUAAAGUUCCUUAAUGUUUUGUAAUAUUUUCUAUGCAUUAAGUGUUUGAAAUCGUGUGAUAUAAUCAAAUUUGUCUGAUUCAACCCAGUUCAUGAUCACAUGAAUAUCCAUACAUACCAG
rnacentral:misc_RNA from 1 species